GACGAACGCUGGCGGCAUGCCUUACACAUGCAAGUCGAACGGCAGCACGGGGGCAACCCUGGUGGCGAGUGGCGAACGGGUGAGUAAUACAUCGGAACGUGCCCAGUAGUGGGGGAUAGCCCGGCGAAAGCCGGAUUAAUACCGCAUACGACCUACGGGUGAAAGCGGGGGAUCGCAAGACCUCGCGCUAUCGGAGCGGCCGAUGUCAGAUUAGGUUGUUGGUGAGGUAAAAGCUCACCAAGCCGACGAUCUGUAGCUGGUCUGAGAGGACGACCAGCCACACUGGGACUGAGACACGGCCCAGACUCCUACGGGAGGCAGCAGUGGGGAAUUUUGGACAAUGGGGGCAACUCUGAUCCAGCCAUGCCGCGUGCGGGAAGAAGGCCUUCGGGUUGUAAACCGCUUUUGUCAGGGAAGAAAUCUUCCGGGCUAAUACCCUGGAAGGAUGACGGUACCUGAAGAAUAAGCACCGGCUAACUACGUGCCAGCAGCCGCCGUAAGAC
rnacentral:rRNA from 1 species